rnacentral:lncRNA from 1 species
UUAUUCCAUGCUGGGCCCAGAGUGUACAAUGGAAACAGAAUAAACACUAUGAUCCCUGCCCUCAGAGAGCUUACACACGAGGAGAGGGGGCCAACCAAAAAAACAAAAAAACAAAAACAGCUGACAGUUUAACAAAGUGCUGCAAGUGCUGCAAAGAAAAUAACAGGAUGCUGAACUAGAGAAUACCUGGGGGAUCUGCCUUGGGCAAAGAGAUCAGACAGUGUUUCGGGGUGAAGGGGCAAGCUGAGAUUGGAAAGAUAGAAAUGAGUCAGCCAACCCAAGAGCGGGAGGUAGUUGAGGGAAUUGGUUCUCAGAAAGCAGCCCAGGUGGAUCAUCUGAGGUCAGGAGUUCAAGACCAGCCUGGCCAAUAUGGUGAAACUCCGACACUACUAAAAAUACACUAAUUAGCCGGGCAUGGUGCAGGUGCCUGUAAUCCCAGCUACUCAGGAGGUUGAGGCAGGAGAAUUACUUGAAUCCGGGAGGCGGAGAUCGCAGUGAGCCGAGAUCACACCACUGCACUCCAGCCUGGGCAAAACAGAACUAGACUCUGUCAAAAA